UCAGGCCUAACACAUGCAAGUCGAGCGGAUGAGUGGAGCUUGCUCCAUGAUUCAGCGGCGGACGGGUGAGUAAUGCCUAGGAAUCUGCCUGGUAGUGGGGGAUAACGUUUCGAAAGGAACGCUAAUACCGCAUACGUCCUACGGGAGGAAGUGGGGGAUCUUCGGACCUCACGCUAUCAGAUGAGCCUAGGUCGGAUUAGCUAGUUGGUGGGGUAAUGGCCCACCAAGGCGACGAUCCGUAACUGGUCUGAGAGGAUGAACAGUCACACUGGAACUGAGACACGGUCCAGACUCCUACGGGAGGCAGCAGUGGGGAAUAUUGGACAAUGGGCGAAAGCCUGAUCCAGCCAGGCCGCGUGUGUGAAGAAGGUCUUCGGAUGUAAAUCAAUGAAGUUGGGAGGAAGGGCAGUAAGUUAAUACC
rnacentral:rRNA from 1 species